ensembl:snoRNA
AGGCUGCAGAGCAGAGGCCUGAAGGGUGGUUCCCCUGUUUAUGACACACCCAACAGGAAUUGGUCACUGUGAUGAGGGGCACAGAACUUGUGGCCUUCCUACGUGUGAAGAAGAAAAUGAU